rnacentral:lncRNA from 1 species
UCACGCCAGCAGCUUCGAGAUUGUCGAGAGUGACAUUCUUCCACAACUUCCAACGGUCACUGAGUAUGAUGGGUUCAAUCCCGAGCUCUAUGAUGUUUUGGUAAAGAUGCAAGGCCUCCGGGAGUCCAGGGGUUGAUGCUCCGGUCCCUAACCACAACCAGUACGCCCCCGGGUCGGUCUUCUCUGUUCUAAGAAUCCAAAAAAAAAAAAAGUAGUUCAAAAUGAAAUCACAAAGUAAGAUAUAUAUGAAAAAAAACAUUUAGGUCAGUACUGAAACUAUUUAGAGUUGCAAAUAAUAUAUAUAAAAUAAAACCGAAACGUGCAUAUAGUGAUAUCUAAACCAUUAAAAAAAAAAUAUGAAGAUAAUAUUGUUAAUGCAAUGGAGGUGGUGUGGGUAGAACUAAUAAUGAUAAUUAUGCGUAUAUAUACCCGUAUCCAUAUUUUGCGUAGUAGGGAAUACUAGAGAGGAGGGUAUCAUCUAGGUCAAAGAUCCAAACAUUGACGGUGUCGUUCUUUAGGGCAAGUCCUUUGGCAUAGAAAUAAGCCUCUUUGCACACGGUUUUGGAGUCGUAUUGGUACUGUUUGGAAGUGAUCAAGUAGUCUUCAACAUAGUCUUUGCAAUUUGCGGGCACCGUGUCGAAGUCUAUGAUGUUAGAGGUCUCAACACCAAGGUGCCAGCUUCUGCAGUUGGCGUAGUUGAUGGAAAGUUUCUCUUUCUCUAAGAGUUCGGCUACGUUCCCAAAGAUGGUUUUCGAAUCGACGAGUUCGAUGAGCCCUGGAACGGAUGCCGAGACCGUAGCGGCCAAGAGCAAGAGAAGUGAAAGUGAGAGGAUUUUCAUGUUUUUUAUGGUAUGGUUUAUUGUUUAGUUUGUGAUGUUUAUAUGUGUGACGCAAAGGGUGGUAUUUAUAAUGAGGUGGGGUUAUGAGAAAUGAUUAAGAAGCCAGAUGAGAAAUGAGGAGAUAUGUGUGCUUGUCUGUUUUCGAUUGGUGCAACAAAUGCUACUGGUCCCAUAAUGUUUAUAAUCGACGAUAUUUUUCACUUACACCACUCGUUUUUAGUGCACGUUGAGAUUGUGUGCUUAACUAGAAUUUGGCGUUUUGUUGUUCUAUUAUCUUUGGCUUAUCUGCUUGUAAAUUUUGAAUUAGAGUUUCGUUUUGGAGAAUACUGUAAAGUUGUUCUACAUUACUAGAAAAAUGUAUUGAAUAUGUUGAUGUGAGUAUAAUUUGUGUUUGCGGAAAUAAUAUAUAGAGUAAAUGUUUCAUUUUUUUUUUUUUGAUAAAUAAUUGAUAGAGUAAUUGGGAAAACCAAUAAAAUGCAAAACGAGUAAUUGACAACAGGUUCCACAGUGAGCGAGAAGAGAUGGGUGUACUGUGAAUAAUAUAAGAGAUGAGACAUGACGAUAAGAAAUGUGAGGUACACAAGAAUAGACGUUAAAUAAUUGUUACGUAAAGUCGUAACAUUAAAUAAUUCAAUAAAUUAGCAAACAUAUAUAGCUGUAUCACUAUUCACUAGUUGUUGACAAAUAUUUGAAUAACGAUUUUCAUGCCCGAGAUUGGGAACAGUUUCUAAUUGCCACCAAGAUUUUCCACAAAAAGUUGUAUCUUGGUGAUAGCUAUAGUUUCAACGAUAAUUGUCCAGUCUUCCAACAAUAUUGUUAUAUAUUUUUUUCUAAUGCAUAUAACCUCAUGACGAAAUAUUUAAGUAGUUUAAUAGAAUUUUUAUAUAUCAAAAAGUAUAUAUAGUGUUGCAAACCAAGUUGUGGUACACUACAAGAGAACAAAACCCUUUUCGACAGACUUUUCGACGAUAAAUAAACGGUCGAAAAUUUUCGACGGUUUCGUAAUGGUAUUCCGACGGUUUUCUGACGACAUGUUUUCCGUCAAAAUGUCGUCGAACUUUUCUGACGAAUUCUAAAUGAUCGACAAUUCAUCAGUCAUUUCCAACGAAACUCCGACCAAAUUAAAUCCGACCAAAUUAAAUCCGACCAAAUGUUUCGACGGAUUUCCGACCAAAAUAUAUCCGUUUUGAUCCCUAGAAUAUUCAUCAGAAUAUUCUGCACUUUUCCGACGGAAUUCCAACGAAAUACACUCGGUCAAGUAGCUACUCGGUCAAUUCGCCGCACGGUCACAUAGCCGUGCAUUUUUUUAUUUUAAAAAAUAAAUAUUCAAAAUUUCCGUCGGAAAUUCGUCGCCAAAACCCGUCGGACGUCCGUCGAAAACCCGUCGAAAACAUUGAUAAUUCUCAUCUUUAUAUUUUUCUACCAUCAUUCACAAAAUCGUCCAAGCAGCAACAAAAUAUAACCAGAGAGAAAUGGCUUCUUCAAAUCCGUUUAAUUAUUUUCGAUCAUGGAUGGACCAGCCCAUGCGUGAUCCGCUAACGGAGUUACUAAUGCCGGAAUAUGCAGAAGGUCUUAAACAAUUCAUGGCAUUCGCGACAAAUCAACCGGUAACCAUCGAAUCAAAAAAAAUGUGUUGUACAUGUCGGAAUUUUGGAGUUCUUCAUGUAUCUCAAGUUUGGAUGCACUUAUAUGGGGAAGGGUUUAUGUCGGGGUACAAAGUUUGGUUCAUGCAUGGAGAGAAUGAGUCAAUGGUGAAUUAUGGUAGUUGUAGCGAAUAUUAUCCUGUUGAUAGGUUAGUGGAACCAAAUCCGGAAGUAGAUGCAAAUGUAGGUACCGUUCAGAUGGUAAAUGAUGCUUUUCGUGAAAAUGUACACUCGUUUGAUGGGGAUAGUGAUAGAGUAGAGGAACCUAAUUUAGAAGCACGGAAGUUUUUUGAUAUGUUAGAUGCAGCAAAAUAUCCCUUAUAUAAAGGAUGUAAAAAGGGUCAUUCGCCUUUAUCUGCUGCAACUAAGUUGAUGGGUAUCAAAACGGAUUAUAAUUUGUCCGAGGAUUGUGUGGAUGCGAUUACUGAUUUUGUGAAAGAUUUAUCACCCGAAGAUAAUCUUGCACCGGGAACAUACUACGAGGUGCAGAAAUUGGUAGCUGGUCUUGGUUUACCGUAUCAGGUGAUAGAUGUGUGCAUUGACAAUUGUAUGUUGUUCUGGAGAGAAGAUUCAGAUCGUUUGACAUGUAAGUUUUGUCGCAAACCUCGGUAUCGGGAAACAAGUGGACGAGUCCCAAUUCCAUACAAACGGAUGUGGUAUUUACCAUUAUCAGAGAGGUUGAAGAGGUUAUAUCAAUCUAAGCGCACAGCCGGGCCAAUGAGAUGGCAUGCAGAGCACACAACAGAAGGAAAAAUUACGCAUCCUUCUGAUGCAGAAGCCUGGAAACAUUUUCAAACAGUGCAUCCUAGCUUUGCUUCCAAACAAAGGAACGUAUAUCUUGGAUUAUGUACAGAUGGAUUCAAUCCCUUUGGAAAGCAUGAGAGGCAGUACUCAUUGUGGCCUGUUAUCGUGACACCUUGCAACUUGUCGCCAUCAUUAUGCAUGAAACGAGAGUUUCUAUUUUUGACCAUCCUCGUUCCUGGCCCACAUCAUCCAAGAAGAUCACUCGACGUGUUUCUACAACCACUUAUAUACGAGUUACAAAUGUUAUGGGAGCAUGGUGUUGAAGCGUUUGAUGUUUCAUCCCAACAGAAUUUUGUCAUGCGUGCGGCACUUAUGUGGACCAUCAGCGGCUUUCCUGCAUAUGGUAUGUUAUCUGGAUGGACAACGCAUGGAAGGUUAUCGUGUCCGUAUUGUCAAAAAUAUGAAUAUAAUCAGCUAGUAAUAUACUUUGUAAUUUUAUUUUAGAUUUAGAUUGUUAGAUUUAGGUUCAUAGAUAUUAUAGAUCACUUACGUGACAAACCGUGGUUAUAGAUCACUUGCAUGAACCACGAUUUGUAUUUUUCGUUUUUUAAUUUAUUAAUCAUAUGUUCCUCUUCGUCUUUGCUGGUGACUUGUGAUGGAGUAUGUUUUAGAAACCUCAACGAAUUUAAUCUCAUAUUUUAGUUUAAUAAAUUGUUAUUUACGUGUCUUCUGAAUUUUCCAUUUAAAAAUAAAUUAUACUUAGAUAUUUAUUUUGCUAUGGUAUCUAUUGGUUUUUUGACAUUACAAAUUUUGAUUAUAUUAAACUGUGUAUUAUUAAUAUUAUUUUAUUUUUUAGGACUUCUUACCAAGAUUUUCGUAGGUCUGAGACUCGAUCCAAUAAUCAGGCGCACUCGACAACACCAUCACCAUCGUCCGUUCCCGAGUCGCAGCAGUCUGCGGCUCGUCCACCAAUGACAGUUGAGGAGCUAGUACAACAACCGGGGCGAACACUUCUCCGACGACUCCAUCCAAAAAGGCGUGAAAAAGGGAGCACAUGGUAAGUAAAUUUUGUUCUCUGUUUUUAAUAUAUAAAGAUUUUAUAGUAUAAAUUAUAUUAUUUAUCUCUAUAUGUAGGUUUGGUUAUUCUAAAAAUGGCAUAUCCAAAUCGAUUUUACGGAUGUUGCAUGGAAUGCUCAAACAUCUGUAUCCGAAGUACAAUGAUAUGCUUCGCGAUGAUCAAGAGCUUUGGUUUAGAACUUUUGCGGUAAUGAAUUUAUUAUUACGUACCAUUAUUUUGUUUGUUUUUUCUAACAUAAUUCUUUUUGUUUGUAGCAUGAAUUCAAUAGGGAUCAUGUCCUCACACCCACUGUCCGUAUCGCGUUUAACAAGUAUGCUGCAUCAAAAUUUGCAGACCACAUGAACAUUUGGAAGGGAAAGUGGGCAGCAGGCAAGGAGUGUCCAAGAGGCUUGAACCCAGACAUAUGGCCUCGCUAUAAAGAGUAUUGGGCGUUGCCGGAGACUGCUCGUACCGCGGAAACCAACUCAUAAAACCAGAAAAGAGAGCGUGGUGGCAAAGGUGUGGCGGUGCACAAUGCGGGUUCGACGAGCUUCUUAAGUCGUACAGACGAAUUGGUAAGUCUUUUACUCUUAUUUAAUUUCAUGUUUUCUUUUAAUUUAACUAUAUUUUUUUAUUUGAUUUAUAGACGGAGAAGAACGGAGGUGUGAAACCUGAUUUUGUAGAAAUCAUUGAGGAUACACACACCAACAAGAAAACUGGAUUAAUUCAAGACGGUUACAUCGCGGGUCUUGUUGAGACAUUGAAGAGAAGGAAGACGGAGUGCCUCACACAGCUUCCCCAAAAUGAUGAUGGAUCCUCACCAUCCAACGUCCAGGCCCGAGAAAAAAUUAACCGCAUGGUUCUUGAGGUAAGGUUUGUUUCAUAGCAUACAUUUUUGUAUAAUUUUUAAAAAAUUACUAAUAGUUGUUAUAUACAGGAAGUUCCGUCAAACCGGAGUCGUGUGGUAGGAUUAGGUAGCCUAAACGAAAGCACCAAAGAUUUUUAUGACGGCCCAUCACGGGAUUCUGAGAUCCUUGCAGAGCUUGAGGAGAAAGACAAGGAGAUCUUAGCUUUGAAGGAGCAAAACAUGAAGAUUCUUGACUUCAUGCGUUCCAAAUUUCCUGAUUUUCCUGAUGAUCUAUAAAUGCUUUUAUUUAAAUUUAAUUUUGUUGUUUUGUCAAACAAUUUUAUUUUCUUUCGUAGGAUAAUAUAUGUAUUUUUAAAAUAUUUAUUUUAUAAUAUUUUAAGAAAGAAUUUUCUAUAAAAUUUAAUUUAAAUUAAUAAAAAUAUUGGUAAUUAAAUUAGACCCGUCGGUAAUACAGACAAUGUCAGUAACCCGUCGGAAAAUACAACAACAUCAGUAACCCGUCGGAAAAUAUAACAACGUCAAUAACCCGUCGGAAAAUACAACAGUCAGUAACCCGUCGGAAAUACUUCGUCGGGAAUCCAUCGGGAAUAAUGUUGUCGGGAAAUCGUCGAAGACGAUACCGACCGAUUUUCAACAACGUUCUGAUGCAAUGCCUGACAACAAUAUUCGUUAGAAAAUAGUCGAAAACUAUUUCCGACGAAGAUCCAACGAUCAUUUUCGACGAUGUUCCAACCAGUUUCGCAACCAAUGUUAUCGUCAGAAAAGCGUAGAGAAAUUGUCGGAAAAUACCUCGUCGGAAACCCGUCGGUAAUUUGUAACACGUUUCCAACGACAUUCAGAUUUCCGACAAGAUAGAAUCGACCAAUCUAUGUUGUCGAAAUGUCGUCGAAUACGGCUAUUUUUAACGGUAUUUCGACGAUUUCGUCCGUCGGAAAGAGCCUAUAUUCUUGUAGUGGUAGAAUAGUAGUUUCCAUUUGAAAUAUGAAGUCUUCAUGUGCGUAUAGUUUAGGGAUUAAAAUUCUUCAACUAUUUAAAUUAUUCGGUCUGAAAGUACCCUGGUUAACAACAAAAAAAAAAAGUUGCAACGACAAAAGUUUAUGUUUUUAUUUCAUAAAAACUAUUGACCAAACAUCUGAUGUCAAAGAAAAAAAAAACUAUAUUACCAAACAACAUAUACUUUAAUCACUCUAAAGGGAAUGUAGUUAAAACUCGAAUCAUAUUAAGAUGAUGUGUUCCCAACUAAUAUCAAUCCUAAGGAUUAGUCGGUUUAAACAUUGGUUUCAUCAUAUAACGUAAAGGAAUGAGUGUUAUACCACUACCAGCUUAACGUAAAUGGUGAGAAGAUAUUCAUAGAAAAUGAUAGUCUAUACUCUAUACAUGAUUAAAGAGAUUGGUAUAGUGUUGUGUUAACUGUUAUAUUUACAUGGAGAUAUCAUUUCAUGGAAACUUGAUUAAUGAUCCCUUUAACGAAAAACAAAAUUUAGUACGAAGUCGUUGUACUUAUUGAGUUAUGAUAGGAUUGGCAUUUUAUUUAAGCAGUGGUGCCAAAACGGCUACAAAGAUAAACGAAACGACAUAGAUAUGAAAUGGAUACAAGGGGACAAUGCCAUGAAGAUAGAUGCUUAAUUAAGAAGGUACGUAGUAGAGUGGAUUUGGGAGCUUAAAAACCCUUCCAGGAGUAUCCUCAACCAAAUCAGCCCAUUGGUCUCCAAUAUUCCCAACGAUGUUGUACCCUUUCUUCACAAGGCUAUUCCUAACCUUUGACUUGUACACCACUUGCGUCAACUUCGAUCCGUUUGGCCUGCGUUUCCAUAUAUAGUCCUCGAUAUUCAAUCACAUAUGACAUUAUUUGCUAUAUAUAACUAAGCUACUUGAUUAAUUCUUACUUGAGUAUGAGAUGCUUCCAUUUUGUUACACCAACAGCCUUGAGAUUCUCGACAGUGACUUCUGACAAUUUUUUCCAUCUGUCAGAGAUUAUGAUGGGUUCAAUCCCGAGUUCCAAGAGGUUUUCGUAUAGAUGCAAGGUCUCCGGGAGUCCUGGAGUUGAUUCUCCGGACUCUAACCACGACCAGUACGCCCCCGGGGCUGUGUUCUCGGUCCUAAGAAUCCAACAAAAAAAAAUCUACAUUAGAAUGAAAUCACAAAGUAGAUAUGGACCCAAAAAAACAGUUAGAUGGGUUAGUUAAAAUAUUUAAAGUUGUCAAAUGAAACGUGUCUUUCCAUAUAUGACAGCUAAACAUUUUCAAAAAAACUAUAUGACGAUAAUAUUAUUAAUUCAAUGUAGAUAGGUACAAUAAUAUGUAUAUACCCAUAUCCAUAUUUAGCGUAGUAGGGAAUACUAGAGAGGAGAGUGUCGUCUAGGUCAAAGAUCCAAACAUUGACGGUAUCGUUCUUUAGGGCAAGUCCUUUGGCGUAAAAAUAUGCCUCUUUGUUUACAGUUUUGGAGUCGUAUUGGUACUGUUUGGAAGUGAUCAAGUAGUCUUCAACAUAGGCUUUGCAAUUUGCGGGCACCGUGUCGAAGUUUAUGAUGUUAGAGGUCUCAACACCAAGGUGCCAGCUUCUGCAGUUGGGGUAGUUGAUGGACAGUCCCUCUUUCUCUAAGAGUUCGGCUUCGUUCCCAAAGAUGGUGUUCGAUUCGAGGAGUUCGAUGAGCCCUGGAACGGAUGCCGAAGACUGGACGUGGGAGACCGUAGCGGCCAAGAGCAAGAGUAGUGAAAGUGAGAGGAUUUUCAUAUUUUUUUGUAUGGUUUAUUGUUUAGUUUAUGGUGUUUAUUUGUGUGACACAAAGGGUGGUAUUAUAUAAUGAGGUGGGUUAGGUAUGAUUACUUAUGAAGACCGAUGGGAAAAUGCGGAGAUAAGUGUACGUAUGGCUUCGAGUGAUGCAAAUGCUUGUUGGUCCCAUUAUGCUUGUAACCAACGAGAUAUUUUCACUUACACCACUCGUUUUUAGAGCACGUUGAGACUGUGCUAAAUUAGAAUUUGGCGUGUCGUUGUUUAAGUUCUAUUAUUAUCGUUCGCUUUUGUGCUUGUUGAUUUUGGAUCAGGGUUUCAAUUACUGUGAAGUUAUUAUUCCACAUUAGUAGAAAAAUGUACGUGGACAUGAUGAUGUUUGCGUGUAUAACUUGAGUUUGCGGAAAUAAUUUAUAGAGUAAAGUUUUUAUUUCUUUGAUAAAUAAUUGAUAGAGUAGUUGACAAAAACAAUAAUGCAAAACGUGAUGUGUAUAAACGAGUAAUUGGCAACAGCUUCCGCAAUGAGCGAGAAAAGAUGGGUGUACUGUACAACGAUAAUUAUAGUUUCAACGAUAAUUGUACGUUCUUCCAACAAUAUAAUUAUUUUUUCUAAGGCAUACAACCUCGUGAGAUCUAUUUAAAAUAGCUUAAAGAAUUUAUAUAUAUUAAGGCAAAGUGUUGCAAAUCAAGUUGUGGUGGGGUAGUAGCAGCUUCCGCUUAAAAUUUGGAGUUCUUAUGUUGAUUUUAGGUUAAAGCUUGAUUUUCUUCAACUAUUUUUUAAAAUGUUUGGCGAUCGGUAAACGUCUUGCAUGACCAGAAAACAUGAAUUUCUAUAGACCAUGGAGAUUAAAAUGGACUCAAGAAUUCACCCGAUUAACAAGAAAACUAAACAAAAACAAAGCAAGGUUUUGCAACGACAUAAAUUUAAGUUUUCUUGUUUCUAUGAGAACUAAUGGAUAACUAUUUAUACUAUAAUUUAGUCAACUCUAAGAAUUUCUGUGCUACCAACUACUAUGAAUUCUUAUAUUCUUCUACAGCUUUAACUUUGUUGACAGUCUUAGUAUCUGGAAUAGUCUGAAUUAUGUUUGCAGAAUCAACAGACACAAUCUCACCUUCCUCUACUACUAUUGCUUUUUCUUUCAUUGGAGACUGAGGUUUAAUCACGCACACAUCCCCUAGAUGACCCCAUUUACCACAACGAGAACAUUUUGGAGGCAACAAAGGAUAAGCAAAUUCAACAAUUACGUCUUCCUCUUCAUCAAGCUGAAACCGAAAACAUUUUGGGAAUAAUUUAGUCAUGAGACUCUUUUCCAAUAAUUUGUUUUGCAGAAAACUUGUUGCAAGAGAAUUUGUCACCUCUAAUACUAAAUGAGUACACCAGCGCGCGAACAAUAUUUACUCAGUCAAUCUUCAAAAGAUGAUAGAAGAUUGUGUCACGAAGAUAAAUGUUCGCCAUGUGAAACGUGUAAAUCACACCGGUCAAAAUUGGUAUUAUAGAUUUCUUAGUGGAAUAUUGAAAUACUGAAAUAGUCGAAUGAUCUAGUUGCGGUAACGUUUAAAAUGAAGAGAUUUUUCGUAUAUUAUUUAUAUUUUGUUUCUUUUACUUGCAUAUGUAACGUCUAACAUACAUAGCGGAAUUGUUCGAAAAAAAUGAAUGCAUGGAAACUUUAUGAAUAUUGUAAAUGUAAAAAAUUAUGUGACAUUAAACGUGAAAAAUGGUAUACUGUAUAUUUAUCACUAAAAGUCCCAUACGAAAUUUAAGUUGCGUAAGUACUCAAUAAUUACAUACAUAGCUACACACACACACACACGAUUCAAAUGACUCCAAAAGAAAGAUACGUGCAUAUUGCAUGUCGCAUUCCAAAGUUAAUGUUGUUUCCAUAAUAAAACGCAUUGCUUCAUCACACGUCUUGACGGUCUGGUUCUGUUUCUUUAACUAAUUUAGCUUACUAAACGGAUAAAAAUGAAUUUUAGCUUACUAAUUUGCGAGCCCUCUUUUUUUCUAUGUCAACAAUUAUUGAGACCUCUCUAUCACUAGCUUACUAAUUACUUUUGUUAAGUUCCGGUAUUUACUUGAUAGAAAUCUUUUAAUGGUUAAUAUCAGUUGACUAAUGAAUUAUAUAUGAUAUAACCUUUGAUGACAUUUUUUUUCUAAGAAGUUUUGGACUUAUGGCAAAAACCAUAACAUUUAAUUUACUCCCCCACAACUAAUGUGAUGUUGGUUCAAUGGUAAAUCUCUCAAGUGGAAGUACUCGGUUCGAGCAAAGUUAGAAGGGAUCUCUUCUCUAAACCAGAUGAAUUUAAUCUGGUCGUGGGUCAUACCUUUAGAAGAUGUAGGGCAUUUGGCCUUGAACUUCCAGAUAUUAAAAAAAAAAAAAAAAAAUACUCUCCACUCAAACGCAGCUUACCCUCGCGAUUUCAGGAUCCAAAAAUGUUUUAGUGCAACCAAGUCUAGUGCUGAUGUUUGGUACCUCUGGAUUCAAAGACAUUAUAGCUAGUGCUGAGUAUGAUUGUUGGUAGAGGUACUGGAGAUGCAGAUUCUUUAAUGAAUUUGAUUACAUAUAACCCUUUAGAAGAGAAGAGAUUUGAUAUGUAUAAUUCAUGUAAGGUAGUUCAUAGAUGACGA